rnacentral:lncRNA from 1 species
UACAAUUUUCAAAAAGGAAUAAUAAUCUACAAGCAGUGGAAAAAUUUUAAGCAACUAUUUAGCAGUACUGUUAUUUCAUAUUUCAUUUCCACUGGUUUGCAACAAUGUCUGCAAGAUCCACCACCCUCUGUGAGUAACCCCAUUCAUUGUCAUACCAAGCAAUAACCUUAACCAUGUCAUCUCCCAUGACCAUAGUAAGUGAAGCAUCAACAGUUGAUGACACAUCACUGCACCGGAAGUCGACCGACACGAGUGGUUCAUCGCAGACAUCGAGAAUGCCUUUGAGCUCCUUGUCAGCAGCCUCCCUAAAUGCAGCAUUCACUUCCUCAGCAAAUGUCUUCUUGGUGACUUGAACGACAAGGUCCACGACAGAGACGUUAGGGGUUGGCACACGGAGGGCAAUGCCGUUGAGCUUCCCCUUAAGGCUUGGGAGGACAAGGGCCACGGCCUUAGCAGCACCAGUUGAGGUUGGAACUAUGUUGAGGGCUGCAGCUCGUGCACGUCUAAGGUCCCUGUGGCUCGCAUCAAGAAGCCUUUGGUCACCAGUGUAAGAGUGAGUAGUUG